UUGCUUUGACAGCACAUACACUAACAUUGGAACAUUACAGAGAAGAUUAACAUGGCUCUUGCACAAGGAAGACACACAAAUUCAUGAAGAGUUCCAUUUUUUA